rnacentral:lncRNA from 1 species
GGCUUCUGAGCAUAAACAUAAGCAUUGAUUGAAAAGAGAUCCCCCAAAGCUGGCAAUCUUUGUGUGCAACUGACAGCAACCUUCAGUUUCCAGUCUGUUUCUCCAUCAAGUUGGUCAGUUCGAAUGAAACAUGAACCGGUUUUUUCUGACGUUCUGAGAAAAACCAUGUCAGAUGGGAUUCGUUGAUUCUUUUCCACUAUGAUGAGGUCUCCAACUUGUAUGUCUGAACUCUUAACUUGCACUUUACCUCGUACUGUCAGCUUGCUAUAUAACUGUGAGUUCAUUUCCUUGUCUCUCUUGUAACGUCGAUACUCAUCAACAGCUUCCCGUACCACUGUGACCGUCAAAACAAAUCCCAGAGGAGCCCAGUAUGUAUACAGGUAGCCUAUUUUCAGUGCUGGUACAAACUGUGAGCAGGACACGACGAGAAAAUAGAGAUUCAGGAAAAACUUGAACUGUUCAUAUAAAACCCCAGGUAUAAAGGUAAAGAUGUUGUAUUUUUGAUUCUUAAUGGCAUUUUUAGGGUAUUUUUCUUCACACUUCUCAGGGCACCCAAGCCACACUGUGCGAGCCUUCAGCUCUUUCUUUCUUCGGCAAAUGUUUAUGAGCCAAUCAGAACAACUAGUGCAAAGGAACUUCCAUCCACCACAAAUAAACCAUUCCAGG